rnacentral:rRNA from 1 species
GACGAACGCUGGCGGCGUGCUUAACACAUGCAAGUCGAACGGAAAGGCCCUGCUUUUGUGGGGUGCUCGAGUGGCGAACGGGUGAGUAACACGUGAGUAACCUGCCCUUGACUUUGGGAUAACUUCAGGAAACUGGGGCUAAUACCGGAUAGGAGCUCCUGCUGCAUGGUGGGGGUUGGAAAGUUUCGGCGGUUGGGGAUGGACUCGCGGCUUAUCAGCUUGUUGGUGGGGUAGUGGCUUACCAAGGCUUUGACGGGUAGCCGGCCUGAGAGGGUGACCGGCCACAUUGGGACUGAGAUACGGCCCAGACUCCUACGGGAGGCAGCAGUGGGGAAUAUUGCACAAUGGGCGGAAGCCUGAUGCAGCAACGCCGCGUGCGGGAUGACGGCCUUCGGGUGGUAAACCGCUUUCGCCUGUGACGAAGUGUGAGUGACGGUAAUGGGUAAAGAAGCACCGGCUAACUACGU